UACAGGGGGUGCAAACGUUGCUCGGAAUUAUUGGGCGUAAAGCGCGCGUAGGCGGCCACUUAAGUCGGAUGUGAAAGCCCCUGGCUCAACUGGGGAAGUGCACCCGAAACUGAAUGGCUUGAAUGCAAAAGAGGGUCGCGGAAUUCCCGGUGUAGAGGUGAAAUUCGUAGAUAUCGGGAGGAACACCGGUUGCGAAGGCGGCGACCUGGGUUGACAUUGACGCUGAGGCGCGAAAGCGUGGGGAGCAAACAGG
rnacentral:rRNA from 1 species